UUCAAUUUUUUUAGACCCUUUGUAUUAUUUACUAUUAUUAUUUUACUUCCAAAGGUGCAAACUUUCAAAAAAAUUAUUUAUUUGGCAAUAAUUGAGAUUCUUGACCUAAUGAGUUAUUAUAUCGUGAUCUAAAAAUAAAAUUGAAAUAAAAAAUGAAAAACGUUUUUGUCAAAAUUUGCAACUUUCAAAUGAACUCUUUAUACCGAGUUUGUAUUUGUAUGAUGAGUGUCUGGUUUGGUCUGGUUGAUGAACUUGCAACGUUUUAAAAAGUUCGUUACAACUUUUACUAAGCUACCUUGUGGAAUUUACUAGAUACAUUGUAACUUUAACAAAUCUUCCUAGUAACAAGGUGCGCGGCGUCUCGGCGCGCGGACCGAGUCGCCAUCAUUUCCUUGGAAAAACACAAACCGUGUGCACGUUUCUGCGUCGCUUUUUGACUAAUUUCAGUUUAAUUUCCGUUUUGGAUGUGAUUCUGGCUGUCUGGAGGAAAAUUUAACAUCUGACAAUGCACUGGCAUAUCAAGCAGUGGCCUAAAGCUGACGUCGUUGGAAAUAAGCCAGUUUUAAGGAGAGUUUGGUAAUUUUGGACUUGCAUUCCGCCGAUUAAAUUGAAACAAGAUUUUGAAACCAAGAAAGAAUUCAAGGAUAAGCAUUUUUGUGCUGAAAAUUGACAAGAGCUCUUAAAGGAUAAAUGUUUGAAUACACCAAAAACGUGACCACCAGGGCAAUACCCUAGCCGUCAGAAGAGAUUGACCUUUGACAGCAUUUAAUCGCGUAGACUGGACACCACCUAGACUCUGGACAUCUGAAUCCUCCCACGCAAGACGCAAGUGCAACUAUUUUGAUAAGUACAAGAACCCUUCUUACAACUUUUGUUUUUUGUUAGUUUUUUUCUACCAUUCAACACUCAAAUCACAUAAAUGCUUUACUAAAAUAUCUUAAAUUUUUUGAGCGUUGAAUGAUUUUUUUACAUGUAUGUGUAAAUUGCUAAAAAUUAUUUUGUAUUUUAUUUUAUGUGACAAACUGCAAUAAAUAAAAAUUUAAUGUACAAAAUACAACUUAUUUUACUCUGUACCAAGAACAUUCCCAACUUGUAAAAAAUACUGAUCAAAAAUAGUAAAAGCAACAAAUGAAACCUAGUAAAAAGUAACAAACGGAGGAAAGUAAAUCCAACAAACCUACCUAGUAAAAGCCAGCUCCGUUUUUGUCUAGUAAAUUUAACAAGGUAUGGUCAGUUGAAAGUACAAGGUAAAUGGAGUACAAAUCCAGCUUUUAAAUGCCUAGUGAAUUUAACAAGGUAACCUAGUAAAAAUCAUUUUACUAGCCCAUACCUUGUAAAAAUAACUAACCUCAGGACCUGAGGCACUUUUAACAAGAUUAUUCUAGUAAAUACAACUAGAAC